AUUUGUUGCUACACAAUAUGGAUAUUAUAGUGUAAAUUAUUAGCAUUUUCGUUGCUAUGGCAUAAUUAUUUUAUAACUACGUCUACUACAUAUUAUAGAUAACAUCAAGUGUAUUUUGACAUAUUCUAAAGAGUUCCUUUCCUUCGCGAGCCCAUGAAGGACAUGUCUGUUUCGUACGCUCCGAAUAAGCUCAGAGUACCUUCAGGGUUUCAAGCGCUACUCGAAGGUUUAGCGCGGGAGGUUUUGAGAGAACAGCCACAAGACUGUGUCGAUUUCUGUGCCAAGUAUUUCAGAAACUUAGUUGAGCAACGUGAGA